AGUGAACGCUGGCGGUAGGCCUAACACAUGCAAGUCGAACGGCAGCACAGUAAGAGCUUGCUCUUACGGGUGGCGAGUGGCGGACGGGUGAGGAAUACAUCGGAAUCUACUUUUUCGUGGGGGCUAACGUAGGGAAACUUACGCUAAUACCGCAUACGACCUACGUGUGAAAGCAGGGGAUCUUCGGACCUUGCGCGAUUGAAUGAGCCGAUGUCGGAUUAGCUAGUUGGCGGGGUAAAGGCCCACCAAGGCGACGAUCCGUAGCUGGUCUGAGAGGAUGAUCAGCCACACUGGAACUGAGACACGGUCCAGACUCCUACGGGAGGCAGCAGUGGGGAAUAUUGGACAAUGGGCGCAAGCCUGAUCCAGCCAUACCGCGUGGGUGAAGAAGGCCUUCGGGUUGUAAAGCCCUUUUGUUGGGAAAGAAAAGCAGCAGGUUAAUACCCCGCUGUUCUGACGUUACCCAAAGAAUAAGCACCGGCUAACUUCGUG
rnacentral:rRNA from 1 species